AGUCGAACGCUUUGUGGUUCAACUGAUUUGAAGAGCUUGCUCAGAUAUGACGAUGGACAUUGCAAAGAGUGGCGAACGGGUGAGUAACACGUGGGAAACCUACCUCUUAGCAGGGGAUAACAUUUGGAAACAGAUGCUAAUACCGUAUAACAAUGACAACCGCAUGGUUGUUAUUUAAAAGAUGGUUCUGCUAUCACUAAGAGAUGGUCCCGCGGUGCAUUAGCUAGUUGGUAAGGUAAUGGCUUACCAAGGCGAUGAUGCAUAGCCGAGUUGAGAGACUGAUCGGCCACAAUGGGACUGAGACACGGCCCAUACUCCUACGGGAGGCAGCAGUAGGGAAUCUUCCACAAUGGGCGAAAGCCUGAUGGAGCAACGCCGCGUGUGUGAUGAAGGGUUUCGGCUCGUAAAACACUGUUGUAAGAGAAGAAUGACAUUGAGAGUAACUGUUCAAUGUGUGACGGUAUCUUACCAGAAAGGAACGGCUAAAUACGUGCCAGCAGCCGCGGUAAUACGUAUGUUCCAAGCGUUAUCCGGAUUUAUUGGGCGUAAAGCGAGCGCAGACGGUUAUUUAAGUCUGAAGUGAAAGCCCUCAGCUCAACUGAGGAAUUGCUUUGGAAACUGGAUGACUUGAGUGCAGUAGAGGAAAGUGGAACUCCAUGUGUAGCGGUGAAAUGCGUAGAUAUAUGGAAGAACACCAGUGGCGAAGGCGGCUUUCUGGACUGUAACUGACGUUGAGGCUCGAAAGUGUGGGUAGCAAACAGGAUUAGAUACCCUGGUAGUCCACACCGUAAACGAUGAGUGCUAGGUGUUUGAGGGUUUCCGCCCUUAAGUGCCGCAGCUAACGCAUUAAGCACUCCGCCUGGGGAGUACGACCGCAAGGUUGAAACUCAAAGGAAUUGACGGGGGACCCGCACAAGCGGUGGAGCAUGUGGUUUAAUUCGAAGCAACGCGAAGAACCUUACCAGGUCUUGACAUCCCUUGACAACUCCAGAGAUGGAGCGUUCCCUUCGGGGACAAGGUGACAGGUGGUGCAUGGUUGUCGUCAGCUCGUGUCGUGAGAUGUUGGGUUAAGUCCCGCAACGAGCGCAACCCUUAUUACUAGUUGCCAGCAUUCAGUUGGGCACUCUAGUGAGACUGCCGGUGACAAACCGGAGGAAGGUGGGGAUGACGUCAAAUCAUCAUGCCCCUUAUGACCUGGGCUACACACGUGCUACAAUGGCGUAUACAACGAGUUGCCAACCCGCGAGGGUGAGCUAAUCUCUUAAAGUACGUCUCAGUUCGGAUUGUAGGCUGCAACUCGCCUACAUGAAGUCGGAAUCGCUAGUAAUCGCGGAUCAGCACGCCGCGGUGAAUACGUUCCCGGGUCUUGUACACACCGCCCGUCACACCAUGAGAGUUUGUAACACCCAAAGCCGGUGGG
rnacentral:rRNA from 1 species